UAUGUAUUGUUUUUUACAGGUAUUGUUUUGAGUUCGUUCUAACUUUCAAAAGAAAUUGACAACAAACAAUCAAUACGGACGACAGCUUACAAAAAUAGCAAGUUGUUAGCAAUCUUUUCAUGUUUUUCUCAUGUUAUUUAUCUUCGAUCAGAGCUUCGCGAAAGGAUGACUGCGCCAUAGGAAUUUUCAAAACAGUUUGUAAUGCAUUGCUGGUGAUGAGAUAUUUUUGUUUGUAAGCAUAUAUAUAUAACAACAGCAAAUUAUAUAUAUAUAUAAUUUGCUGUUGUUCAGAUCAGAUUAAAUUUUCAAAACAAAUUCUAAAUACAUGUAGUAAUGGAAUAUAAUUAUUGAUAAAUUGAAAGAUUUUUGAAGUGUCAUCCUGCAUAUCAUGAAAGAUAAAGAUUCUAGCGACAUCAAUAUGAAACAAGAAGACGACGGGCACUGAUAUAGCAACCUGUUGAUGCAUUUUCAUUGAUUUCCAUUCACUAAUAUUGUAUCAUUAUGAAAGUAAACUAUAACACAGGUCUUCUCUAACAUGACAAGAAAACAAAUGCUGUCAGUGUCAUUUCCAAAUGGUUUCAGAACGGUUUGCGGCAAAUGACAUCAAUCUGGAUAGAAUAUUGUUGGACUCAUGCUUAGACAAUAUUAUCCACAAUGCAACUGGUAAAUUCAACUAGCUGAGUUUAUGUAUUGUAAUGAUUGUGUGCAUGAAUUGAACAUAACAAUACUGUCUCUUACUUCUAAAUGUGAAAAACAACAAUCAAUACGGAGAACAGCUUUCAUCAGUAGGUAUGGAAAGCUUAAAGCAAUAUGUUUAUGCCUUACAAUUCUCUGUUUUUGAUCAGAAUUGAACAUUUCGCGAAGAAGUGGUUGUGUUUUUGGAAUGAAGUAUUUAGUGUUUAGAAUUUGAAUUAAUUCUCAGUACGAUUUGGAUAUUACAUAGGUGAAGUGAAGGAAUAUGAUUAUUUGUGAUAUUCAAAUCAGACCUCAAUUUUAGUAUACUCUGGAAUAUACGUACAUACAGUGGAUGAAUACAGUUAUUUAUAAGAACGUUUUAUAGUGAUUCAGAUUGGAGGGAUUUAAUUUUUAACAGUGUUAAAUAUACAUAGAUAAAGUGAAUGAUUAUCAUUAUUUAGUGGUAUUCAAAUUGAAAUUUUAAUUAAAAAAACAGUCUUAAAUACAUAAAUAUAGUGCAAGAAUAUUAUUAUUGGUGAAUAAGUUUCUUCUAAUUGUGUCUAUGUAUUCAAAUCGAAUAUAAUGUUUUAAACCUUUGAGACAGACACAUAUAAGAUGAAGUAAAAUAUUAAUUGAUGAGUACAUUGUGUUCUAAUUUUUAGACAAAAAUACAAUAAAAAAAAACACUAUUUAUCCAUGUAAUAGACUGUAUAUUACAAUUUAAAAUAAUACGAAAUAGAUAUUUUGGGAAGAUAAAAAUAGCAUGUACGGUCAGUUGAAGGUCAGGUUAUUACAAAUUCCAACAAUCUUAUAAUCACCAUAUGUGCUCGGAAAACUUGUUCUUGAAAAAAAUAAAAAGUGUUUCAUUUAAAGUUAUGGGACAGCAAUAGGAAUUUAAUGUCAUUUUUAAGUUUUGAAAAUAUUAUCGUCAUUUCUCUUCCGCCUUCGCUAGACAAGCUUUUAAAUGUACUCGUGUGAUGACAGUACUUUUCCUUUGAACGUAAAAUUCGUAGAGCACGCAUAUUCAUUAAAAAGAUAAAUGUAUCUAUGAAAUACUGUAGAAAUAUUUUUUCUAUGUCGCCAAACUAUUAAGCUUAUACAAACGCUAUUAUAUACUCUGGAGAAGUUACUGACAAUAUAAAAAGGAGCACAUAAUCUGAUUUAUCUUAAUUUAAUUAUUACCAUUUGAAAAAACUAAUCAAGAAAAAUACAUGAAAAUCUUCGACAAUUCCCUUGAAAAAGAAUCAAACAAUUUACAAUUUACAAAUGCCGUAUUUUAGAACGACAAAAAUUAAAUGCUAUUACAAAGAGUUUUGCUCAUUUCUUACGCCUUCCGUCCAUUUAAUAUGGUCUGUUACAGUUGUUUCCUUUACAGCUCAGUAAUGUUAGAGGAUUAUCCUAACCCGCACAUAUAUUUUUUGUAAAAGUAUUGACAGAAUACGGAACAAUUUCAUCAUAACAUUUAAAAAAAGAUACAGGUUUUUAAUUUCUGACAAGUGUCAAAGAACACUAGCAUAUUGAUUUUACUUAAAGUCCUUGUGUAAUUUUUUGUAUGUUUCCUAAAUAGAUCUAAUUGGUGAACAAAAUCAUUUCCUGUCAUUUCUUGACAAUCGUUUUUAAUUCAAAUCCUGUGAGAAGCUGAGUAUGGCACCAGGUAUUGUAUACGUGCAAAAAUUUUACAGAAAAAAACCUAUGCAGUCAAAAUUCAGAAAUUUGACGAGCAACCAAAAUUUUAGAUAUUUUGAUAAGAUCGAGUUCUAAGAAUAAUAUUGUAUUUUAGUGUACAAAAUAUGAUGCAUCAUUAAAUUUUAUUGAUCAUUUGUAUAAGCAUCUCGGCUAAAAAUACAAAAUUAAAUAUAGAUUACAUUUACAUUUAACAAUAAUAUAUUGAUCUGUUCUGAGAUGUAAGCAUGUGUGAUUUUGAUCAUUAUUCAGGUUAACAUUUUUCUUCGCUUUGAUAUAUUUUUAGUUUUCAGGGCUUUUUUUAGAUUUUUUGUUUGCAAAACAAAUAAGCAAAAAUAAUUAAAUAGUAUUAAUGCAAUGGACAUAACAAGAUACCCCAAAUCCAAAUUUCAGGUAAAGCGUACACUGAACAUAGAUAUUUUCUUAAAAUGUAAGUGCAUUGAAAGGAUGAAUAUAAUACUGCAGAUUAAUUUCUUUUAAUUUCUUGUUAAAAGCAAAAGGUAUUACUUAGUGACAAUGUGUCAGGAGAUUUUGUAAUUUUGCAUGUUCUUAUAAAAGCACUAAUGCGAAAUUAUUUCUUUUCAGAAAAUUAUUUAUCAUUUUUUCUAUCAAAAAUCCCUGAAAAUUCGAUACGAGUUUUAUUAACCCACCUUUGCUUUCAAUUAAUUUGUAUAAAAUAGACCUUAUGAAACUGUAAAAAUUUGAAUAACAACUCCUGAGGUUGUCUGAUAUUAAUACACGUCAUUUUAAGAAAUUAUAAUGACAGUUUUCACUCACAUUGUGUUACUCUGUUUUAAUGCACCUAAAGCAAAAGAACAUACUCCUUACAAUUAGUGUUAGUAAUUGUCUAUUGUUAUUUGUUGAGAACAUGUUAAACAUCUGAAUAAUGCCCUGGCCCACUGGCUCAAUUAAAAGAAUUAUAUAUAUAUUUCUAACAUUUAUAAUUGCCACAAUAAUUUCAGACAAAUAAUAUUCUUGUGAGUUUAACCAAAUGGAUUGCUGAAUAGAAAAAAGUCAUAACAAAAGGGAAUAUGCAUGGUUUAGACAAAAUCCAAUAAAAAAGCACUUCUUGACAUUUUCCUAAUUUUAGAUCAUUUAUAUACUGACCUUGAUAAUACUUUAAUUUUACCGGAUUUUUUUCCGUAUACUCAUUAAUAUUUUUAUGUCACUAGAAUUUGGUAAGUUUAAAAAAUCAAAAAAGGAUUGGCUAACCGGAAAUAAUAACUCUCUACCAAUGGAUGAAACACAUAUAACUGAAGUUACAAAAGCAAUACAGAAACAAAAUUACAGUAUGCAAUUGACACACAAGAAAAUUUUGAAAAUAUAAAUAAUAUACCUCUUCAAGGAAAACGAUUGAUGUUAAUGAUCAGUUAUUAUUCGAUACUAUGUUUUUGAAU